AUUGAACGCUGGCGGCAGGCCUAACACAUGCAAGUCGAGCGGAGCGGCGGACGGGCGAGUAAUGCCUAGGAAUCUGCCUGGUAGUGUGGGAUAACGUCCGGAAACGGGCGCUAAUACCGCAUACUAUCAGAUGAGCCUAGGUCGGAUUAGCUAGUUGGUGGGGUAAAGGCCUACAAGGGCGACGAUCCGUACCUGGUCUGAGCGGAUGAUCAGCCACACGGGAACGGGGACACGGUCCAGACUCCAACGGAGGGCAGCGUUGGGGAAUAUUGGACAAUGGGGGAAAGCCGGAUGCAGCCAUGCCGCGGAGGGGAAGAAGGUCUUCGGAUUGUAAAGUACGUUAAGUUGGGAGGCGUUACCAACAGAAUAAGCACCGGCUAACUUCGUGCCAGCAGCCGCGGUAAUAC
rnacentral:rRNA from 1 species